UACGUAGGGGGCGAGCGUUGUCCGGAGUUACUGGGCGUAAAGCGCACGCAGGCGGUCUGCUAAGUUUGGAGUGACAGUUGGUGGCUUAACUGCCAAAGUGCUUCGAAAACUGACAGACUUGAGGGCUUCAGAGGGACACGGAAUCCGGGUGGAGUGGUGAAAUGCGUAGAGAUCCGGAGGAACACCAAAGGCGAAGGCAGUGUCCUGGGGAGUACCUGACGCUCAGGUGCGAAAGCCAGGGGAGCGAACAGG
rnacentral:rRNA from 1 species